CGCUCAGUGUCACACGGUCUCCCUUUCGCCAAGGGAAUUUAAUGGACCUUUUCGCGAAGGGAGUUCGAAAAUGACCAUUACGGCUGGACGGAGUACUCUCGUUCCCAGAUAGCUACAGCUGCGAAGAAAACCACGUUAAUAAAAUCGUCGUAACUGGCUCACUUACAAAUUUUAGCAUUAUUAUUUGUUUUGCCUUUGGUUAUACACCACGUCAUUGGAGCUUUCAAUUUGUUUUUAAGGACAUGAGCGCCUGUACUCUCUACACCAUACAUCGCCAUCCCGCAUGGGAAAGUGUCGUUCCGCCAUUUCGUUUGUUUAUCCGCGCGCGAGCCGCACGUGUCCAUUUUCGUUUGUUUAUCCGCGCGCGAGCCGCACGUCUUGUACGGAGAAACUCCGCUAUGAACGAUCCCGGCGCCUCAUCGUCUGCUUCGCUCGCACCGGCAUCGGGGCUUCACAGCGGCAGCAACACUUCGCAGCCAUGGUCAACGUGGACGGAGGCGGAGACGUGGGUCCUGAUCCGGCUGUGGGAGGACCACCUCCCGCAACUCCGAGGGGAGAAACAUAACGCCAAAGUGUACGACGCCAUUGUGGCAGCUCUUGCGCAGAGCGGCAUCAAGAGAACUCGCCGGCAGGUGCAGACCAAGAUCGACAACCUGACCCAGAGAUACAGAAAAGAGUCGCGGGAAAGGACGAAAGGGUCCUCGCCGUCUCCCUAGCCGUUCUAUUCUGAAGUACACAGGAUCUUGGGUGCCCUGCCGGCGAAUGAUCGCUCCGUAAUUCAGGAGAGUCCUUGCUCUCCAGAUGAAACUGUUGAAAUGAUAAUUUCCAGCAUGGAACGUUCCGAUGGAAAUACGUCUGGAGAGGAGGAGGUGGCAGACGCAGUGGAAAACGCAAGCGAUAGCCAAGGGCCUGCAUCGACCACACAACAGCGCCGCCCACAAAAGCGGAAGAGGCAGAGUGCCACUGAGAACUUCCGGAAUAACUUGCUGGAACAGCAAAAUAAGCUGAUUGCAACAUUGCAAGAGGCAACUAAAGUUGACCAAGCUCUGCGGGAGCGGCAAGUGAAUGCGCAAGAAAAGCUGGUGGAUCUGCUGUCCCAGU